AAUAUUGGACAAUGGGGGCAACCCUGAUCCAGCCAUGCCGCGUGUGUGAAGAAGGUCUUUGGUUUGUAUAGCACUUUUAGGUGGGAGGAAGGGCUUUAGGUGAAUACCCUGAAGUUGUGACGUUUACAACAGAGUAAGCACCGGCCAACCCGGUGCCGGCAGCCGCGGUAAUACAGAGGGUUCAAGCGUUAAUCGGAAUUACUGGGCGUAAAGCGCGCGUAGGUGGUUCAGUAAGAUGGGUGUGAAAUCCCCGGGCUUAACCUGGGAACUGCUUUCAUAACUGCUGAGCUAGAGUACGGUAGAGGGUAGUGGAAUUUCCUGUGUAGCGGUGAAAUGCGUAGAUAUAGGAAGGAACACCAGUGGCGAAGGCGACUACCUGGACUGAUACUGACACUGAGGUGCGAAAGCGUGGGGAGCAAAC
rnacentral:rRNA from 1 species